GACGAACGCUGGCGGCGUGCUUAACACAUGCAAGUCGAACGGUGGAGCGCCUUCCUUUUUGGUGGGUGUGGAGGAGUGGCGAACGGGUGAGUAACACGUUAGUAACCUGCUCCCUCCUUCUGGAUAACCGCAUGAAAGUGUGGCUAAUACGGGAUAUUCUGGGUCUGUCGCAUGAUGGGUCUGGGACAGAUAUUGUGUCGGUGGGGGAUGGGCUCGCGGUCUAUCAGCUUGUUGGUGGGGUGAUGGCCUACCAAGGCGAUGACGGGUAGCCGGCCUGAGAGGGUGGGCGGCACUAGAGCGGAGGAGCGACGGAGAAGCCUACGACAGGCGGCAGCAGGGAAGAUUAGGCCACGGGGGGAGGCAGGAUGGUGCAGCGCCGCGGGGGGGAGGAUGGACGCCGUCGGGUUGUGAUCCGCUUUCGCGAGUGAAGCAGGGCGGCCUCGUUUGUGGGUGGGUUGACGGUAGCUGGAUAAGAAGCGCCGGCUAACUACGUG
rnacentral:rRNA from 1 species